rnacentral:rRNA from 1 species
UACGUAGGGUGCAAGCGUUCAUCGGAAUUACUGGGCGUAAAGCGUGCGCAGGCGGCUCGGAAAGAAAGAUGUGAAAUCCCAGGGCUUAACCUUGGAAUGGCAUUUUUAACUCCCGAGCUAGAGUAUGUCAGAGGGGGGUAGAAUUCCACGUGUAGCAGUGAAAUGCGUAGAGAUGUGGAGGAAUACCGAUGGCGAAGGCAGCCCCCUGGGAUAAUACUGACGCUCAGGCACGAAAGCGUGGGGAGCAAACAGG